UAGUUAGGGUCCUGCUGCUUCUUAUUAUAUACGUGAUAGCUUUAACCUGCAACACCAGUGACUUGCCAAUUUGAGCAAGUGAUUCUGAUUUUCCUGCAGCUGCUGCUGCUUUUUUUUUAACAGAUAAUCUCAUUUUUUUGUAUAUUUUCAAUGCUAUCUGUGUUAAGUGUAAGAUAUGAUCUCACAAUGUAAAGCUUGGUUUGCAAUCACUUAUCCAUGGAUUUGCUUGUCAAACAGUGUUGACAUCUGUGCUUUAUGCUCCAACCAAGAAUGUUAACAAAUUCUACCAUGUAUAUACUGGCAAGAUAAAGCUUCUAGAGCUUCCAGGUGAUUUAUUGUUAAAUAAGGAGUCAGUCCUAGCAUUCCCUUGCCAGAUUACUUGUGGUAGAUGUUUGUUGGUUCUAAAAACUUGAUUGAAAAUCUAGUAAAGAUGAACCUAAGAUUUUCAUAAAUCAUUUAUAAAUUGAAAAUUACAAUGUCCCUUUCUAUUACCCCACAUUUUCAUUAGUCUAUAUAGCCUGAGUAGAUAAAAGAAAAAUAUGCUUGUUUAUUACACCAAUUGUUUGUUCUUGCUUACAUUAACAUUCUGCACUCUCUGAUCCAGUUGUUUGUGCCAGGAAAUUUGUGAAGCUUCUCAGCUCAAGAUAUGAUUUAUAUAUUUUUAGCUGCAAUGUUAUAUUUACAAAUAAUAUCCUAUUCACAUGGUAAACAUUUUAGUUUACAUUUAAAUGGCAUAGUAAAGUAGAAAGCAUAACAGUGGGAGAAAAGGGAAAGUUGGACAUGAUCAAAAGAAGUUCAUAAGUUUAGACUGAAAUGCGAGAAAUUAGCCGUGAAAGUAGGAUAUGUGAAAUGGGUCAUGUAUCAUGUGAACAAGUUAGUAACAGUAAGACGUGUAAUAAGGGGUAGAUUUGUUAGGAAUGAUGGGAGUAAUACAAGGACAAAAGCUCAAAAGAAAGUAAUGGUAUUAGAGAAUUAUGUAUCUUUCAAUAAGAUUGGGUAUGUUCAGAAUUAGUGUUGAAUAUUCUGGAUUAAUGAAUAGGUUUAGACUUAAUUAGUGUUGUAAAUGUGUACCAGGUGUUCUUGGGAAUUUUAAGUACUAAUGUGAAAUUAUUAGAUAUCAGAGUUAAGAGAAGUUCUACCAUGUUUUAAGUAUUAGAAUAACUUGAGAUGGUGAUUUGCAUAUGCAACCUAUAUUAUUGUCUGCAUAAGACGGUUCUCAAGAUAACAAAAAUGUUCUAGAUAUCUCCAAAUUACUAAUUAGAUUUGAAUCAUGUAAAUGUUACACUUGGUACAUAUAUUCAGUUCAAUUAGAAUAAAGAAAAAUAAUUCUAAUGCAUAUAAAAACAAUUGAUUAAAGUGAGAGGUUUCUAUAUGGUCCGUUUAUGUUCCUGAUUAUAUUUUGAUAUGUUAUAUUGUAAGGUCAUACAUGACUGAAGCCAUUUGUGAGGUAAAAGUGUAUGAAAUGAUAUUUUUUAUAAUACAGUUUCUCACAUUUGACCUUGUAAUCAAAUGUACAUAUAUCUAUAUAUUAAAAUGUUUUACUGUUUAUUAUGAUAGCAGUCUCAAGUGUCCCAUAAGACAUUUGUAUCAGGAAGUAAAAAAAAUAAAUAAAUACAUAAAAGAUCCUUACUAAAUUUUUGUAUUUUUGUUUGAGAAUCAAAUUGGAACAUAUCAUGGAAGGACGCAAUGUCAAAUUGACCAAUACAAGUAUCCACCAAGAGAUACAGCAGAUCAUCCCUGUCACCUCUCUCUGGCAGCUACCAUGCCCUAUUCUUCCUCACAGAAAGAAUUCUGAACAUUUGAUAGUAGAAGGAUGAGGACUGACUGCAAGGUGUACGUAGGCAAUCUUGGCAACACUGAAGCCAAACAUGAAUUGGAAUCGGCCUUCUCCAAGUAUGGGCCCCUUGUAAAUGUAUGGGUCGCAAGGAAUCCACCAGGCUUUGCCUUUGUGGAGUUUGAGGAUCCUCGGGAUGCAGAAGAUGCAGUGCGUGCCUUGGAUGGAACACGCAUGUGUGGUGUUCGCGUCAAAGUCGAAAUGUCAACGGGACGCUCUCGACGCGACCGCUUCCAUUCCCCUCCCAGACGUGGUGGUGGUGGGGGAAGACGGUCGAGGACUAUCUCGCCCAAAUUACUUCUUGUUCCACCACCACCAUCUACUCCUCCUACUGUUGCUACCACACCACCACCACCAACUCCACCACAACCACCACCACCACCACAAGUACUUCCACCACCACCACCACCACCACCACUGCUAGCAUCAGCGUCAGCCUGCUUGUACAGUGGACUUCCAGUUUUGGGUUGUAGGGGUAGAUGGGAUGCCUCAUUGUGGGCAUCCCUCCCACCCAUCACCUCGUACCUCACUGGGAAUGCAGCUUGAUUCAGCAGUAGAGGUUGAUCAAGUAACUCUCCAGGAUGGUGAAGUGUGACAGUAUUUCGUAAUACUUUAUGCUUUACUGAUCUGAGGAUGGUAUUGCAUACCAGUGUUGGGAAGGUGGUGGGCCCUGAUCAGCCAAGGCAUGUGCAGCGGUGGUGGUGCGCGGCACGUUGCCUGAUGGCCCUCCUCCGGCGCGGCACCUCAUGGCACCCGGGCAGCCCUUAUGCGCUUCACGUGUCCUCUUCUCCCCGCCCGUCUACGUCUACCCUCCGCCCAACGCCCGCCCGCUGCCUGCGCACCAUCAGGCCUGCCCCCCCACCCACCAUCUUGGGUCUCUGACCCUUCAACGCUCGCUCCACUUUCUUACAUUCAUCGCGCCUCGACUCAUCAUAACGGCUACCCUGCUGUGACGGUCACGAUCUCCCAGGCGUUUUGGGGGUGGAGGUCGCGGUGGUGGACG